UAGUAAACAAAACAGCAUUAGAGUUGUUAGAAAAGUAUUCCUAUGGCUUGCAAUAUUGGCGGCAAACUUGGGUGCACACUAAUCUUCACUUAAUCCAAGUUGUCUUUCUACCCGAUGAAUUGGAUGAUGCUAUGCAGUUUUAAAAUAAAGAAGUGAUUUCUUCCGAAGGCUUUUUUUUUGUUGUUGUCAUUCAGGUUUUUGAUGCACUGUGCGACUUUGUAGUUGUGGCAAACACUGUUAACCUGAGAGAGCCGCGCGGAAAUAAGCAAUUGUUAGAUUUGGCAAUAUGAAAGAUCUGUGUUUGACAAUGACCCAAUGCCAUUUUGGCAGUUUUCGUAAGAAAGAUGGGACUGCCAGAUAUGUGGCAACCACUUCUUUGUGGUAGCUGAAUGUCUCCAGUCAGGGGUAUCAUCUUUAAUAAUGCCAAAUUUGAUUUGAAAUAGGAAACUACCAAUAAGUGCACUUCAUCUUCACUCUGUGUUAAGUAUUAGCUUGGUGGUGUCUUCGCUUUGAGGCUGGAUAGUUCCAAGUUCAAAUAUGAUUCUUCUGAAGAACUGCCAAAUAUGUGGAUCUGUUGCUGGCUAAAUUCAUUGAAGCCAAAUGUUCUCUACCUGGUGUAAUACGGAAAUUUGAAGAAGAGUUGCUGCUUCAAAUGUCGUCUUCGUCAUCUGACCAUGAUUCAAACUUAUGAGAUUGCAAACAAGUUUGUACAAGUGCUAAGAAAACUGUUGAAGAGAGAAGAAAGGAUCAGGAAAAAUGAGGAUGAAUGAAAAUAAAUAGAAAGUGAUUUGUGUCCAUUUAAUACAGAAAUGUAAAACUGACUGGUAAUAUGCAUUUAAGAGAACUAUUAUUGUAUAAAAGAUAAAAAUGACAUAAAUAAACAUGUGAUUACCUUAAUAA